UUGAAUUACUCGAGAAUCCUGUGUGCCCACUUACAACGGAGAGAUGGGAGGUAGCUCUGUCUACACUGAGAGCUCCCAGAAAAAGCUGUUUCCUCAGCCCACACCAUGCUCAAGCUGCUGGGGAACUGCACUUGCAGGAUGACCAGCCAGCUGUGUGCUGUUCUACCGCGCAGCGGGUCACAGCCUGUACUUCGGCAGUGUGCUCUUCCCUGCUGGGUCCUGGCUGGGCCACCUCGCUGAGAAUCAGGACAGUGUCCAGAGGCAUCUCAGCCACACUUCCCCACAGCUUUCUCUCCUCAUGGUGACCUUGGGUGUUGACCUCUCAGUACUGAAAGAUGAAUUUAUUCCAGAGGCUUCAGUUCCCCCUUUCAUGGUAGGUCAUUUUUCUAAUUCAGUUCAGCUUUUCUGAAUUUAUCCUGACUCACAAAAGAACUUACUGAAGAAGAGUUUGGAGUAGGCUGAAUCAGGACUGUGUCCUUUCUGCAAAUGUCUCCUCCUCAUCAGACCUGAGGUCGCAGGGCUGGUGUCUCAGGAACAAGAGUGCUGAUUCCCAGGGGCAAUACCAAGAGGAGGAAGAGCGAAGUCAAUCCAAUGUGAGCGGAAAUAAGGAGACAAGAAAGGGGGAAUCGGAAAGAAACGAAACAAGGAGCAGAGAGACACUCGCCAAGUCCACGGGAAGAGCAGUAAGGUGGACAGACUUCUACCAGAUCGUGUGACACUAAUGCAUGUUACAUAGACUACUAAGUAUGUCCCUCCAUGUGGAACAUGGACCUCCGCCUCUGAUUUGGGCACCUGAUCCUGUGGGACACACAGGCCUCGAAGCCUGCUGACCUCGAGGACCAUCACCUGCAAGGGCAGGUCAAGCAAUUCCUGAACCACCUUUGUCUCAUAAUCCACAGAGGAAGCUGAGGAUGGAGGCAGGAGCUUGGUGACCGAGGGGCAGAAGUCCGCUCUUCUAGGAGUCGCCAUGCCCAGCUGGCUGUCGAGGUCUCCAAAGCAGAAGUGACAGUCACCGAGCCAGGCAUGGGACAAGGUUCUCAGCAGAGCCACUGUCUGGGGAGACCCCACCUGGCCUGGUGGGUGCUGAUAAGGUUCGUGGUGGGACAUCUCCCUGUGGUGAUGACACUGGAAUCAGAGGACUCAGAGGUGGCCUCCUUAUUUCUCAGGGUCCUCACGGGAGCUGGGGGAGCAUCAGCCACGUCAGGCGUAUCAUUUGAUGUAAAAUCUGCCCUUUGUGUUAACAAAAUACUUCCUGCAUUUGUAUCCAAGUAAGUUUUGGGAUCACAACGAGUUUUUACACCAAUUUCAUCCCUCCAGUCAAAAUGAAAUUCAGUACUUUUACCAUGGUUAAAGGGAAACAGAGCUGCCAGGACUAUGUCAGAGGCAUUUGCCACCUGCCAAGGUCACCUGGCCCCAGGAAGGGUGGGAGCUCCUCUGCCCAGAUGCAGGCCAGUGGGUAAGACUGCCCUGUCACCAGCCAUCCCUGUCACCAGCUUGGGCAUGUUCCUUCCUCAGCAAGAGGGGGAGGUGGCUGGUGCAGGAGCCGCUGCUGCUGGGCAGGAAGAAACAUCUGCCUGAGCUCAUACUUGUCUCCAGUGGGAGGGCUCCUGGAGUCUGAUGUUAUACUACUUGGUCUCUAAGGAAGCAAGGA